rnacentral:tRNA from 1 species
GCUCCUGUGGCGGAAUUGGUAGACGCGCUAGACUCAAAAUCUAGUGUUAGCGAUAACGUACCGGUUCGAUUCCGGUUAGGAGCACCA